rnacentral:rRNA from 1 species
UGAGUAACGCGUAUGCAACCUACCUAUCGAGACGGGGAAUAACCCGGCGAAAGUCGGACUAAUACCGCAUAAAACAGGGGCACCGCAUGGUGAUAUUUGUUAAAGAAUUCGCUGAUAGAUGGGCAUGCGUUCCAUUAGGUAGUUGGUGAGGUAACGGCUCACCAAGCCGACGAUGGAUAGGGGAACUGAGAGGUUGGUCCCCCCACACUGGUACUGAGACACGGACCAGACUCCUACGGGAGGCAGCAGUGAGGAAUAUUGGUCAAAUGGGGCGGGAGCCUGAACCAGCCAAGUCGCGUAGAAGGAAGAAGGAUCUAUGGUUCGUAAACUUCUUUUGCAGGGGAAUAAAGUGCAGGACGUGUCCUGUUUUGUAUGUACCCUGAGAAUAAGGAUCGGCUAACUCCGUGCCAGCCGCUGC